rnacentral:rRNA from 1 species
UGGAAGUAAAAGUCGUAACAAGGUCUCCGUUGGUGAACCAGCGGAGGGAUCAUUACAGAGUUGCAAAACUCCCAAACCAUCGUGAACGUUACCUACAUCGUUGCUUCGGCGGGUGGCGGGCUUCGGCCCUGCCCUCGGCCCCUCUCGGGGGCCCGCCGGAGGUACACCAAACUCUUGAAUUUACAUGGCCUCUCUGAGUCUUCUGUACUGAAUAAGUCAAAACUUUCAACAACGGAUCUCUUGGUUCUGGCAUCGAUGAAGAACGCAGCGAAAUGCGAUAAGUAAUGUGAAUUGCAGAAUUCAGUGAAUCAUCGAAUCUUUGAACGCACAUUGCGCCCGCCAGUAUUCUGGCGGGCAUGCCUGUCCGAGCGUCAUUUCAACCAUCAAGCCCCCGGCUUGUGUUGGGGACCUGCGGCACACCCGCAGGCCCUGAAAACCAGUGGCGGGCUCGCUGUCCACACCGAGCGUAGUAGCAUAUCUUUGUCUCGCUCAGGGCGUGCGGCGGGUUCCGGCCGUGAAACCCACCUUCUCGAAGGUACCCAAAGGUUGACCUCGGAUCAGGUAGGAAGACCCGCUGAACUUAAGCAUAUCAAUAAGCGGAGGAA